ensembl:lncRNA
GGAGGGUCCAGCAGUAUGUAGGAGGGAGGGUCCAGCAGUAUGUAGGAGGGAGGGUCCAGCAGUGUGCAGGUGGGAGGGUCCAGCAGUGUGCAGGAGGGAGGGUCCAGCAGUGUGCAGGUGGGAGGGUCCAGCAGUGUGCAGGUGGGAGGGUCCAGCAGUGUGCAGGUGGGAGGGUCCAGCAGUGUGUAGGUGGGAGGGUCCAGCAGUGUGUAGGAGGGAGGGUCCAGCAGUGUGUAGGAGGGAGGGUCCAGCAGUGUGCAGGUGGGAGGGUCCAGCAGUGUGUAGGAGGGAGGGUCCAGCAGUGUGCAGGUGGGAGGGUCCAGCAGUGUGCAGGAGGGAGGG